rnacentral:rRNA from 1 species
AAACCUGCCCUGUACCGGGGGAUAACACUUAGAAAUAGGUGCUAAUACCGCAUAAGCGCACAGCUUCACAUGAGGCAGUGUGAAAAACUCCGGUGGUACAGGAUGGUCCCGCGUCUGAUUAGCCAGUUGGCAGGGUAACGGCCUACCAAAGCGACGAUCAGUAGCCGGCCUGAGUGGGUGAACGGCCACAUUGGGACUGAGACACGGCCCAAACUCCUACGGGAGGCAGCAGUGGGGAAUAUUGCACAAUGGGGGAAACCCUGAUGCAGCGACGCCGCGUGAGUGAAGAAGUAUUUCGGUAUGUAAAGCUCUAUCAGCAGGGAAGAAAAUGACGGUACCUGACUAAGAAGCCCCGGCUAACUACGUGCCAGCAGCCGCGGUAAUACGUAGGGGGCAAGCGUUAUCCGGAUUUACUGGGUGUAAAGGGAGCGUAGACGGCAUGACAAGCCAGAUGUGAAAACCCAGGGCUCAACCCUGGGACUGCAUUUGGAACUGCCAGGCUGGAGUGCAGGAGAGGUAAGCGGAAUUCCUAGUGUAGCGGUGAAAUGCGUAGAUAUUAGGAGGAACACCAGUGGCGAAGGCGGCUUACUGGACUGUAACUGACGUUGAGGCUCGAAAGCGUGGGGAGCAAACAGGAUUAGAUACCCUGGUAGUCCACGCGGUAAACGAUGAUUGCUAGGUGU